AUAUAUUAUAUAGGAAUAGAUUGCCUAGAAAUAGAUCAUAUCCUGUAUAGUGUUCUCUCUCUCUCUCUCUCUCUCUCUCUCUCUCUCUCUCUCUCUCUCUCUCUCUCUCUCUCUCUCUCUCUCUCUCUCUCCCCUCUCCUAGGUCUCUCUCUCUCUGUCAUGGAAGUUAAUCUCAAAGGGAAGGCCUUUGGUGGAGAUGGAGAACGGUCUCUUUUAGAAAGAGGUAGGCCAGAGCUGGUUUGAGUGGAGGCUUGAAACUCAUUAUCCUGUAAAGCGGGAUGCCAGCUCCAGGGAUGAAUUUUGGAAAGCCGAGUGACAGGGGUGGUUUCCUCCACUGAUUUAGAAUGCACUGGGAGGCCCCAGAGUUCGCCGAAAUGGAGGCCCUGGGGCGGGGCGGAAGUUGCUGUCCUUGGUGACCACCACAGGCUGUGCACUUCUGAACGUUCAGGCUCAUUCUUGAACCUCUGGGUGAACAAGGACGUGACAAGGACAGCCAUUUCCUUCUUUUAUGUCAAAUGGGGGGACAAAAUGAAAGGAGACAUGGCCGCUACCCUGCAGCCAGCGAGGGCCGGGUCGCGCCGCGCUCGGCCUGGCGCGAGGUCCCUGGACACAGCCCAAUUCAGUCCUAGCCCGCUUAGCUGAGGGCUCUCUUGGCAGGGGGGCCCCUCCCUCAGCCACCGCGGGCCCCAAGCUGAGUCCAGGGGCCUCUUCGGCCUCCGUCCCCCUCCGCUCUCCCCACCCCCCCUCAGGUGCUGCGCGUAUCCCUCCGCCGAGGCGAGCCUUCCCUGUAUGUAGCCCUAGGACCGGGCUUGUCGGCAAUACCCGGAUGGAAGGGUUAUGGCCGCCAUCGGGGACUCGCCCGCCAUGGAGCUCACGCCAGGUAUUUUCCCCAAGCCAAGGCGCCAGGGUCGCCUCGAGACGCGGAGGCUCUUGAGGGGGGGAACUCCUGGGGGUCUAGAGGAGGAGUCGGCUGGGUCGCGGGGCCCCUCGAGCCGUCUUGGCGGCUGCUCAAGACCAAGAGUCCGUCAAAUAGUUCCCGCUGUCGUGUAACUCGCCCCAAACUUAUUUUUUUAUUUUUUAUUUUUGUAAUUAAAUUCUCCAGUAGAGUCUUGGGAUCACUGCUGGCCGGCCGCAAGGCCUCUGGGCUCCCCCGAUCUCGUCCUCGCUUAUGUGGCCCCGCGGGAGAGCGAGCAGGCUGGGCGCGGCGGCCCGUGGGCUGUGUGCUUCCGCGUGGCCGAGCCCCAGGGGGUCUGGAGGAGGGGGCCUGCCCGAAGUCCCACUGGACGCCCCGCAGACGUUUCCGGGGCCGGGUGGGUGGCACCCACUGCCUUUCCAGCAGGUCGGGGGCUUUCAGGAGCUCCCUAAUUGUCGCUGCUGGCAACUUGGGCGAGCGCUCUCUCUUUCCCGAAGCCCCUGACCACGGGCCCAGCGCCCCCAGGCUGUGCCCUGGGUGUGUCAGCGACCCGUGGGCCGCUUGUCAGAUAUCAUCUCUUCUUUUGAUCAGUGUUCCUGAUUGUGACUUUUUUUCAAGCAUUGUAUUGUGUGCCUUUUGUUCCUUGAAGAAGAGGGGUGCUAAAGAUUGA
ensembl:lncRNA